GAUCGGGCGUUCCCCUUCGGGGGGACAGGGUGACAGGUGGUGCAUGGUUGUCGUCAGCUCGUGUCGUGAGAUGUUGGGUUAAGUCCCGCAACGAGCGCAACCCUCGACCUUAGUUGCCAGCAUUCAGUUGGGCACUCUAAGGUGACUGCCGGCUAAAAGUCGGAGGAAGGUGGGGAUGACGUCAAAUCAUCAUGCCCCUUAUGACCUGGGCUACACACGUGCUACAAUGGGCGGUACAAAGGGUCGCGAACCCGCGAGGGGGAGCCAAUCCCAAAAAGCCGCUCUCAGUUCGGAUUGCAGGCUGCAACUCGCCUGCAUGAAGCCGGAAUCGCUAGUAAUCGCGGAUCAGCAUGCCCGCGGUCGAAUACGUUCCGGGCCUU
rnacentral:rRNA from 1 species